UUCGCCCGCGGCGGAGGAGAGGGGAAGACAAACUCGGGGAAUGUUGGAAGCGAGGAGCUUGCGGAAGGCGGUCGUCCCGGCCUCGCUAUUCCGAGACCCGUCGCCGGGGAACAUCCAAUCCACUCGCCUCGCUCUCAAUGUCAAUGAUGGCGGCUCUUCUUGCUCCGUAUACAUCGCUUCCGGUUGCCGCGUCUAUAAGAUCGAGAUAUCCAUGGAAGAUUCUGUAAUUACUAAAGGAAAAGAAAGCCUUAUAAUUCCUGUCAAUGCAGAGGUCAUACACUCAUCUGCGGUUGACCGCUGUCCUCAUCGUUCAGAGAUUCAAAGUUUAGUCCUUACUGAAGGAGGUGAUAACUGCUUGAUUAUGGGCACAGUGGACUGUUAUGGGCACCUUAUUGUAUCCCAGUUGGAUCCGGUUGGUUCAGUCAUCGACAGGCUUUCUUAUUCGGUGUUGCCUCGAGAUUGCGGUAUAGGAGAGGGGAGCUGGGCUGGUAUCUGCUUUAGUCCAGCACACUGGUCUACAGUAGCAGUCGCCCGCAGCUUCUGCAAAAGUAUCGAUGUUUAUGACCAAGAUAUCCACAUUAAGAGUUUACAAACAUUGUGGUACCCGGCUUCAUUAAGUUUUUUUGAUAAUCCACAUUAUGAGGGGCACUCCUCUGUACUAGCUGUUGCUGAAGGCUCUCAGCUGACCAUAUGGGACUUGAGAACAAAUCAAAAUGGUGGAUGUGUACAACGUGUAUGUGGUUCCAUUGGAGAUCUCAUAUAUUCCCUGUGUAGUUCACCAUCUGGAACAAUUGCUGUUGGUGGAUCUGAUCGUACUGUUACCAUUUAUGAUCCUCGCAGGUGGUCGGCCAUAUCAAGAUGGGUGAACUGCUCAAAGUAUGAGAUAACAGGUCUCUAUUUCUCAACAAUUGACUCAGAUUACAUCUACAUCCAAGGUGUUGAUUAUGAGGUUAUCUGUGGAACAUGGAAAGAAGGUAGAAAAGCAUUCUCCUUUAGGGGAGACUCAAACUGGUUGGGCUUUAGUAAGUGUGCAAAUGCAGAUGUUCUUGCUGGAUGGUGCGAUUCUGGUAGCAUCUUUGUGGCUGAUGUUGUAGAGGAACACUCAUGAAACCUGUGAAUACUGUUAUCGACCUGAUAUCACAUGUUGUCAGUGAUCUUUUGUGGUCUGGGGUGCGAUCGGAUUAUGUUGAAGCAUUUGUCUCUCGUAUGAACAACAGAAGCAGAGUUGUGAUUUGGAUUAUCUUUCUACCCUCCUUGUUCCUUGUUGAAACAUUAAUCUGUCGUGAUGCUAAUGAGACUUUUAACUAUAGGGGCUGGGCUCAUAUGUAAUUAAUCAUGAAUCCAAUGACAUUGAUGUAAUCGACGAGCCAGAUAGCUCAGCCAAGUGUCUCAUUUGAAGUGCAAUAAAAAAAGGCCACGACGACAUCUGUACUAACUUGGCGGAUCCAUGGCCCCAACCCAACCGCUUGUCCACCAGAAAAGACCAGGUACGGACACGUUCGUCAUAACGGGUGCGGUCUUCGUGGGGUUCGGAUCGCUUGUUGGGCUCGCUCGCCGACUCAAUUUAACCCAAUAGGUGCGCGUCAUUGUCUGGCACAAGCAAACUGCGACGCACAUUGCCCGCUUCCAGACUUCUUCGCAGGCCGUCCCCAUCGGAAAACCUGGGUGGUGCCAGAUAUAUUGAGGGUUUUAUGGGGUUUUGAGUUCAUCGAUUGGAUUCUUUAUCUGUGUUCCUUCGGUGAUGAUCUGGAACAGACUUUUGACUGGUAGCUGAUCCAUUUAUCCACUUCGGUUCAACUUCGGUGCUCUUUGAAGUUGGAAAUGGGAGGCUCUGCAGCUGAUUGCGUGGCUUUCAUGCGACUUUGGUGGACGAAAUGGCCAGCAAGGGAGCGGUCGUGACUCGCUCAUCGGCAUCGCAUCGUCGAGGAGAUGCUGAAGAUACCACCUUUAAGUUCAUCAGACCAAUCCCAAAGCUAAAGAUUUCAAUGCUUGUAGUUGGAACAAGAGGAGAUGUUCAACCUUUUAUAGCUUUUGCGAAGAAACUUCAGGCAAGUAUGCUUACAAAAUUGUACAAUACAACAUCAGCUUUUGAAGGUUUAUUUAUUGUGUUCGUCACAUGAUUUUUUGGUUAAACAGGUUGGAGUUUAGCAGCAGUCACUUGUAUAGCUUUUUAGUUUUAUGGGAUAAUUGGCUGAUUUUGUUGGCUUAGCUGACAAGUUACAGUGGUCAAUUUUUGUCCAAAUGGAAUUGAAUGAUCUGAACGCUGAUACCUAGUGAUGUGGAGGGAUGACAAUCACUCUUAUUUGAAAAUAACCCUAUAGCUUUUUUGCUAAAGAUGCAUUAGAAUAAGUCUGCAUAAUUCAGUUUGCAUCAUUUACAUUCUCCUGCAAGGUUGUGUAGUUGCAUUGUCUAUAUCUCUAAUAAAGUGCUUUUAAGAUCUAUCAAUUAUAACAUUUUCUAGAGUUUUCUUGUUGUAGUUGUCAAGAUAAUGUGCUUUGUUAUGUGAGAGAGCCUAGACGGACCUGCAUUGAAUAUGCUGUAACAAGGGUGCUGCAUCAUGCCCAUGCCAAUCACAUAUCUUAAGUUACUUAUAGGUUUUCAUGUUCCUAUACCAAAUGUUGAUACUUCACAAGCUUCAUAUGGCAUGUGUGGUGCAGGGAACACUACAAGUACUAGCAAUCUUGACGUGUCAUUACUUCCUGCUAUACUUGGUCAAAAUAUCAAAACUAAAAAAUUACACGUAGAUUAAUAAUAGCAUCCAAAAUAUCCUUUUAAUUUUGUGCCACUAAAUUGUAAGUAACUGACUAAUAAAACAAAUUUAUGAACUCUUCUGUUUUGAUUUAGUAAUUAAUUGGAGUCUAUCAUAUGUAUAUCCUGUGUUGAAAAUUUGAAAUACCCACGAGCAGUGCUCAAAGUCAAUAUGUCUUACAACAUAUCCUAGUAUGCAUUGUUGUUUGAGGAUGCUGACCUUGUAAGAACAGGAUUAGUGGAGUAUGAAAUCUACAAAUAUGACCGUACUGUCCCUUCUCUUUGUUAAUUAGCUCAAGAGAAAUGUAAAUAAAGUUGGCAGUACCAAGUGAUUUGUGGCAUUGUUGUCCUUUGAAACUGUCCCAUUUUGAUUUAUUAGUCUACAGAAAGUUAUGGCCUAUUCCUCCUUUAUAUCUUAGAGAAAAGCAAUAAUUUACUUGCACCUCAUGAUAAUGAAUCUGUGUUUUUCGUCAUCCUUGUUCUCACAGAACCUACCUGUCUUCUCCAGGAGUUUGGCCAUUGUGUUAGAUUGGCAACUCAUGUGAAUUUCUGGACUUUUGUGAAGUCAUGUGGUCUGGAAUUUUACCCUUUGGGUGGUGAUCCUCGAAUAAUGAUUGGAUAGCUCAGCGUUCAGUCUUUCAAGUGCUAUAAGAUUUAUGCUCCAACCAGAGGUUAAGUUGCGUGCCAUGGAAUUAAGAGAGCAAAUAGACGAUGCAGAUGGUGUUGCGGCUGCAGCGGAUGCAUUCCAUAGGCAUUUGCCACCACAGCUACCGAUCCUUCCUCCUCCUUCGGAUGAUGGACCACCAAAAUCCCAUUCGGUGGCUGCCUCAGUUCGUCUUCCAUGCGCGCUUCAUGGUCCUCCCUGUGUUUUAGCCAUUCUUUAUUAUGUUCUCAUUGUCAUUUUUUUGUCUGUGAAUAUGGGAUAAUAAAGACCAAUUAUAUAGUUUUCUCUACAUGUAUUGAGUGAGAAUUUUGUCAACGAUUGCUGUCCACGAUGCUGCGUGGUCAACCGCUGCUCGUCCCUCAUCGAUCAUGGGGACUGGCGAGGUUUUUGGCGCAAACCGAGGAGGCGGGACGAAGAAAUUUUAGCGGGGGAUGCAGGUUUGGCGCCAACCCUCGACAGCCAUUCCAAGUCUCGCUUUGGCAUUCUCCACGGCAGAUUCCAAGUCGGUCUCUCUCCUAAGAUUUGGAGAGAGAGAGAGAGAGAGAGAGAGGAUAUGGUUCCGUGAUGCACUCACUGCAUUCCGCCAGGAAGAUGAACGGGGAAUACGACAGAGGGAAAGAAACAAAGAGCACGACACUGUUCGAGCCUACUAACAUUGUCGCCAAGUCCGAUUAAUAAUGUGGUAAAUCAUUGGACACACUGCGCCUCGGGACUCUCACACAAAGGUCGCUUUUGCCAGAAGGAAGGAUGCACUGUACCCAUAUAGAGAUGGGUUUGUAUGCUAUUUACCGGCUGGUGUAGUAUUUUAUGUUUCUUUUAUCUUUUAUUUUGGCUUCUACGAACCCUUCUAACCUUCUUUUAUUAUUAUCCUUGCAAUCAAAUAAAUUAAAUUCAUUCUGUUGAA